UACGAAGGGGGCUAGCGUUGUUCGGAAUCACUGGGCGUAAAGCGCACGUAGGCGGAUUGCUAAGUCAGGGGUGAAAUCCUGGAGCUCAACUCCAGAACUGCCUUUGAUACUGGCGAUCUUGAGUCCGGGAGAGGUGAGUGGAACUGCGAGUGUAGAGGUGAAAUUCGUAGAUAUUCGCAAGAACACCAGUGGCGAAGGCGGCUCACUGGCCCGGUACUGACGCUGAGGUGCGAAAGCGUGGGGAGCAAACAGG
rnacentral:rRNA from 1 species